UUGACCUCAAAUCAGGUAGGACUACCCGCUGAACUUAAGCAUAUCAAUAAGCGGAGGAAAAGAAACUAACAAGGAUUCCCCUAGUAACUGCGAGUGAAGCGGGAAGAGCUCAAAUUUGUAAUCUGGCAGUUCUUGAACUGUCCGAGUUGUAAUCUAGAGAAGUGUUACCUGUGCUGGACCAUGUACAAGUCUCCUGGAAUGGAAGCAUCACAGAGGGUGAGAAUCCCGUCUUUGACAUGGACUGCCUGCACGUUAUGGUGCGCUCUCAAAGAGUCGAGUUGUUUGGGAAUGCAGCUCAAAAUGGGUGGUAAAUGCCAUCUAAAGCUAAAUAUUGGCGAGAGACCGAUAGCGAACAAGUACCGUGAGGGAAAGAUGAAAAGAACUUUGGAAAGAGAGUUAAACAGUACGUGAAAUUGCUGAAAGGGAAACGCUUGAAGUCAGUCGCGUCGGCUAGAAAUCAGCCUUGCUUUUGCUUGGUGUACUUUCUGGUUUGACGGGUCAGCAUCAAUUUCGAUCAUUGGAUAAAGUCAUCGGGAAUGUGGCAUCUUAGGAUGUGUUAUAGCCCAGUGUCGCAUACAGUGGUUGGGAUUGAGGAACUCAGCACGCCGCAAGGCCGGGUUUCGACCACGUUCGUGCUUAGGAUGCUGGCAUAAUGGCUUUAAUCGACCCGUC
rnacentral:rRNA from 2 species